UAAUUUAUUCUGAUAAAAACUAUUAAUUUUCGAACUGACAAUGACAUUCGAAAAUGGAGAUUCUUUACAAGUGCAACCAUGGAAAUAGAAGCAAUUGGCAGUGUUUAUAACAUUAUUUUUAUCCUCGAUUUUACCUUAAUUUGUAAAUAGACGUACUUAUUUGUUUUCUUGUUAUUUAAAUGUAAAUAUUUCGGAAACAGUUGAGUUUUCAGAUAAGAUAAUUAAUUUUCUACUUUCUAAAACCUGUAUCGGUUCAGAAGUGAUGCAUGUUUCUGAUUGGAGCAAAGAAAGCCGAAUUUCAUAUUUAGAAGAACAUACUAUGACCUCAAAAAGAACCGAAUGUCUUGGAUUGGAAAAGUUCCAGGGUAUUUGUACUAAAGAACCUGUUAAUUAUGUCCGGUGGCAUGAUAUAUUUUUUAAUACUAAAUACAAAAAUCAUAUUUUAACAAGAAAACGCACGCUGGAAUCAACAUCCUUUCCAACAGUCAAUAAAAUUCCUUGUCAAUGUGCCAUGAAUUAUAUUCUUCUAGACUUAGGAAAUAAUAUAUAUCCAAGGUACAUUUACACAGGCGUGUGCAGUAAAAAACAAAUGUGUGGUUUAUUUUACCAAUGCCAUCCAAGAAAAUAUAAGCUUCAUGUUUUAAGAAAAAAGGACUCCAACCUGGUAAUACCUGAAGAAAGUGAACAAAAAGAUGAAU